UUUUCCCGGUUGAUCCCGCCGGACCCUACUGCUAUCGGGGUGGGACUAAGACAUGCAAGUUGUGCGUCUCUAAGCCAUGGUAGAGACGCGGCAUACGGCUCAGUAACACGUGGCUAACCUACCCUUUAGGACGGGGACAACCCCGGGAAACUGGGGCUAAUAUCCGAUAGGUGAGGAGGCCUGGAAUGGUUCCUAGUCGAAAAGGCGUUGAAACCAUGCUUUUCGACGUCGCCUAAGGAUGGGGCCGCGCCCGAUCAGGUUGUUGGUGGGGCAACGGCUCACCAAGCCUAUAACCGGUACGGGCCGUGAGAGCGGGAGCCCGGAGAUGGGCACUGAGACAAGGGCCCAGGCCCUACGGGGCGCAGCAGUCGCGAAAACUCCGCAAUGCGCGAAGGCGUGACGGGGCUACCCCGAGUGCCGUCCGCUGAGGAUGGCUUUUCCCCGGUGUAAUGAGCCGGGGGAAUAAGGAGAGGGCAAGUCUGGUGUCAGCCGCCGCGGUAAUACCAGCUCUCCGAGUGGUAGGGAUGAUUAUUGGGCUUAAAGCGUCCGUAGCCGGCUUAGCAAGUCUCCUGUUAAAUUCAGCGACCUAAUCGUUGAGCCGCGGGAGAUACUACUAGGCUAGGAGGCGGGAGAGGUCGACGGUAUUCUCGGGGUAGGGGUGAAAUCCUAUAAUCCCGGGAGGACCACCAGUGGCGAAGGCUGUCGGCUAGCACGCGCUCGACGGUGAGGGACGAAAGCUGGGGGAGCAAACCGGAUUAGAUACCCGGGUAGUCCCAGCUGUAAACGAUGCGGGCUAGGUGUUGGGGUGGCUACGAGCCACUUCAGUGCCGCAGGGAAGCCGUUAAGCCCGCCGCCUGGGGAGUACGGCCGCAAGGCUGAAACUUAAAGGAAUUGGCGGGGGAGCACCACAA
rnacentral:rRNA from 1 species